GUAUUUUUAAAGAAUUUUCCCUUUAAUAUCUGAUACGCGGCCUAAUGUGGGUUUGACGAUAUUAACUUAAUUUUUAAUGAGGAGAGUCCGCCGCAUCAGCUUGCUGAUUGGGCUCUCACGUGUCGCCCAGGUCUUGCAUUGCUGCGAGGGUCUGGCACACCUCAC
rnacentral:snRNA from 1 species